GCCUGGGUGGCUCAGUCGGUUGAGCGUCUGACUUCAGCUCAGGUCAUGAUCUCACACUCCGUGAGUUCGAGCCCCACGUCAGGCU
rnacentral:tRNA from 1 species